rnacentral:rRNA from 1 species
AUUUAGAGGAAGUAAAAGUCGUAACAAGGUCUCCGUUGGUGAACCAGCGGAGGGAUCAUUACCGAGUUUACAACUCCCAAACCCAAUGUGAACGUUACCAAACUGUUGCCUCGGCGGGGUCACGCCCCGGGUGCGUCGCAGCCCCGGAACCAGGCGCCCGCCGGAGGAACCAACCAAACUCUUUCUGUAGUCCCCUCGCGGACGUAUUUCUUUACAGCUCUGAGCAAAAAUUCAAAAUGAAUCAAAACUUUCAACAACGGAUCUCUUGGUUCUGGCAUCGAUGAAGAACGCAGCGAAAUGCGAUAAGUAAUGUGAAUUGCAGAAUUCAGUGAAUCAUCGAAUCUUUGAACGCACAUUGCGCCCGCCAGUAUUCUGGCGGGCAUGCCUGUCCGAGCGUCAUUUCAACCCUCGAACCCCUCCGGGGGAUCGGCGUUGGGGAUCGGGACCCCUCACACGGGUGCCGGCCCCUAAAUACAGUGGCGGUCUCGCCGCAGCCUCUCCUGCGCAGUAGUUUGCACAACUCGCACCGGGAGCGCGGCGCGUCCACGUCCGUAAAACACCCAACUUUCUGAAAUGUUGACCUCGGAUCAGGUAGGAAUACCCGCUGAACUUAAGCAUAUCAA